CUUCAGGGCUUCACUGCGGGCGGGAUGAGAGAGGUGCGUUCGCGGGUUCGGGACAAACCAAUGAUUCACUGCUCUCCCGCAAAUUAAAUAUGUGCGUAAAAUUAAAUAUGGAAAUGAUUAAAGUAGUGUUCAUAAUUAUAGUUCAGCUGGA